rnacentral:rRNA from 1 species
UACGUAGGGUGCAAGCGUUUGUCCGGAAUUAUUGGGCGUAAAGAGCUUGUAGGCGGUUUGUCGCGUCUGCUGUGAAAUUUCGGGGGCUCAACCCCCGAACUUGCAGUGGGGUACGGGCAGACUAGAGUGUGGUAGGGGGAGACUGGAAUUCCUGGUGUAGCGGUGAAAUGCGCAGAUAUCAGGAGGAACACCGAUGGCGAAGGCAGGUCUCUGGGCCGUAACUGACGCUGAGGAGCGAAAGCGUGGGGAGCGAACAGG